AUGCAAGUCGAGCGCGCCCUUCGGGGUGAGCGGCGGACGGGUUAGUAACGCGUGGGAAUAUGCCCAAAGGUACGGAAUAGCCUCUGGAAACGGAGAGUAAUACCGUAUGUGCCCUUCGGGGGAAAGAUUUACCGCCUUUGGAUUAGCCCGCGUUAGAUUAGGUAGUUGGUGGGGUAAUGGCCUACCAAGCCUACGAUCUAUAGCUGGUUUUAGAGGAUGAUCAGCAACACUGGGACUGAGACACGGCCCAGACUCCUACGGGAGGCAGCAGUGGGGAAUCUUGGACAAUGGGCGCAAGCCUGAUCCAGCCAUGCCGCGUGAGUGAUGAAGGCCUUAGGGUCGUAAAGCUCUUUCGCCAGGGAUGAUAAUGACAGUACCUGGUAAAGAAACCCCGGCUAACUCUGUGCCAGCAGCCGCGGUAAUACGGAGGGGGUUAGCGUUGUUCGGAAUUACUGGGCGUAAAGCGCGCGUAGGCGGAUCGGAAAGUUGGGGGUGAAAUCCCGGGGCUCAAACCCGGAACUGCCUCCAAAACUAUCGGUCUA
rnacentral:rRNA from 1 species